AUAAAUGUGAUGAAGGAGACAUGGUAUCUUUCCAUUUCAUUCAUAGAGAAUCUGCGGAAUGGUGGAAGCAGAUAUGAAAAGAAGAUAUUACCCCUCCUGAGUAGGAAAAUGGAAAUAGAGUAAAUUUUCCCGGUCGGUCCCGUUACGCCGUCAAAGAGAAGCAUGGCUUUCAUUUGGGUGGAACCGCGGAAAUAACUUUCGUCCCUUAC
rnacentral:ncRNA from 1 species